UAGAGCGAGGUAGAGGUAGAGCGAGGUAGACUGGGAUAGAGCGAGGUAGAGGUAGAGCGAGGUAGACUGGGAUAGAGUGAGGUAGAUCGAGGUAGACUGGGAUAGAGCGAGGUAGAGGUAGAGUGAGGUAGACUGGUAUAGAGCAAGGUAGAGGUAGAGCGAGGUAGACUGGGAUAGAGCGAGGUAGACUGGGAUAGAGUGAGGUAGAUCGAGGUAGACUGGGAUAGAGCGAGGUAGAGGUAGAGUGAGGUAGACUGGUAUAGAGCAAGGUAGAGGUAGAGCGAGGUAGACUGGGAUAGAGCGAAGUAGAGGUAGAGCGAGGUAGACUGGGAUAGAGCGAAGUAGAGGUAGAGCGAGGUAGACUGGGAUAGAGCGAAGUAGAGGUAGAGCGAGGUAGACUGGGAUAGAGUGAGGUAGAGGUAGAGCGAGGUAGACUGGGAUAGAGUGAGGUAGAGGUAGAGCGAGGUAGACUGGGAUAGAGUGAGGUAGAGGUAGAGUGAGGUAGACUGGGAUAGAGCGAGGUAGAGGUAGAGCGAAGUAGACUGGGAUAGAGCGAGGUAGACUGGGAUAGAGUGAGGUAGAGGUAGAGCGAGGUAGACUGGGAUAGAGUGAGGUAGAGGUAGAGCGAGGUAGACUGGGAUAGAGUGAGGUAGAGGUAGAGCGAGGUAGACUGGGAUAGAGCAAGGUAGAGCGAGGUAGACUGGGAUAGACCGAGGUAGAGGUAGAGUGAGGUAGACUGGGAUAGAGCGAGGUAGAGGUAGAGCGAGGUAGACUGGGAUAGAGCGAGGUAGACUGGGAUAGAGUGAGGUAGAGGUAGAGCGAGGUAGACUGGGAUAGAGUGAGGUAGAGGUAGAGCGAGGUAGACUGGGAUAGAGUGAGGUAGAGGUAGAGCGAGGUAGACUGGGAUAGAGCAAGGUAGAGGUAGAGUGAGAGACUGGGAUAGAGUGAGGUAGAGGUAGAGCGAAGUAGACUGGGAUAGAGCGAGGUAGACUGGGAUAGAGUGAGGUAGAGGUAGACGAGGUAGACUGGGAUAGAGCGAGGUAGAGGUAGAGCAAGGCAGACUGGGAUAGAGCGAGGUAGAGGUAGAGUGAGGUAGACUGGGAUAGAGCGAG